UGACAGUACUCCUACGGGGAGGCAGCAGUGGGGGAAUAUUGCACAAUGGGCGCAAGCCUGAUGCAGCCAUGCCGCGUGUGUGAAGAAGGACCUUCGGGUUGUAAAGCACUUUCAGUCGUGAGGAAGGUAGUGUAGUUAAUAGCUGCAGUAUUUGACGUUAGCGACAGAAGAAGCACCGGCUAACUCCGUGCCAGCAGCCGCGGUAAUACGGAGGGUGCGAGCGUUAAUCGGAAUUACUGGGCGUAAAGCGCAUGCAGGUGGUUUGUUAAGUCAGAUGUGAAAGCCCGGGGCGUCAACCUCGGAAUAGCAUUUGAAACUGGCAGACUAGAGUACUGUAGAGGGGGGUAGGAAUUUCAGGUGUAGCGGUGAAAUGCGUAGAGAUCUGAAGGAAUACCGGUGGCGAAGGCGGCCCCCUCGGACAGAUACUGACACUCAGAUGCGAAAGCGUGGGGAGCAAACAGGAUUAGAUACCCUGGUAG
rnacentral:rRNA from 1 species